UACGAAGGGGGCUAGCGUUGUUCGGAAUUACUGGGCGUAAAGGGCGCGCAGGCGGCUAGGCGUGUCGGGCGUGAAAGGCCUGGGCUCAACCCGGGAACGGCGUCCGCGACUGCUUGGCUAGAGUGUGGGAGAGGAUGGUGGAAUUCCCAGUGUAGAGGUGAAAUUCGUAGAUAUUGGGAAGAACACCGGUGGCGAAGGCGGCCAUCUGGACCACAACUGACGCUGAGGCGCGAAAGCGUGGGGAGCAAACAGG
rnacentral:rRNA from 1 species